GACGAACGCUGGCGGCGUGCCUAAUACAUGCAAGUUGAGCGCUGAAGGUUGGUACUUGUACCAACUGGAUGAGCAGCGAACGGGUGAGUAACGCGUGGGGAAUCUGCCUUUGAGCGGGGGACAACAUUUGGAAACGAAUGCUAAUACCGCAUAAAAACUUUAAACACAAGUUUUAAGUUUGAAAGAUGCAAUUGCAUCACUCAAAGAUGAUCCCGCGUUGUAUUAGCUAGUUGGUGAGGUAAAGGCUCACCAAGGCGAUGAUACAUAGCCGACCUGAGAGGGUGAUCGGCCACAUUGGGACUGAGACACGGCCCAAACUCCUACGGGAGGCAGCAGUAGGGAAUCUUCGGCAAUGGACGAAAGUCUGACCGAGCAACGCCGCGUGAGUGAAGAAGGGUUUCGGAUCGUAAAACUCUGUUGGUAGAGAAGAACGUUGGUGAGAGUGGAAAGCUCAUCAAAUGACGGUAACUACCCAGAAAGGGACGGCUAACUACGUG
rnacentral:rRNA from 1 species